GUUCCCGGCUAUAACUGUCAUCAGUGGGCAAAUUGGCAUAAACAGGCCUCCGCAAGUGGAAAAACAUUUAACUCCUGGACUUGUCACCCUCUGGGUCUUCUUGGUCGCCAGAGAAGGAAAGGAAAUCUGAGUGUGCACGAGCGAAGCGGGAAGCCGAACGCAGCACCAACCUGAAGGCUCCUCUUCAGUCCCCCUGAAAUUGCAAGAUUUUCUUUCCUGCCGGAGCCUCCAAACCCAAGAAAUAGACAAAAAAAGCUAUCCAAGAUGACUGUCACGUACUCCAGUAAAGUAGCAAAUGCGACUUUUUUUGGAUUUCAUAGGUUACUCCUCAAGUGGAGAGGCAGCAUCUACAAACUACUAUACAGGGAAUUUAUUGUCUUUGCUGUUUUUUACACGGCAAUAAGUUUGGUGUACAGAUUGUUACUUACAGGAGCCCAAAAACGUUACUUUGAAAAAUUAUCAAUUUACUGUGACAGAUAUGCUGAACAAAUUCCAGUAACCUUUGUGCUUGGGUUUUAUGUCACUCUGGUAGUGAACCGAUGGUGGAACCAGUUUGUGAAUCUGCCCUGGCCGGAUAGGCUGAUGUUCCUCAUCUCCAGCAGUGUUCACGGAAGGGACGAGCACGGGCGCUUGCUAAGAAGGACGCUGAUGCGCUAUGUCAAUCUCACGUCUCUACUUAUCUUCCGCUCUGUGAGCACCGCUGUGUACAAAAGGUUCCCAACCAUGGACCACGUGGUUGAAGCAGGUUUUAUGACAGCAGAUGAAAGAAAAUUAUUUGACCAUCUCAAAUCUCCUCAUCUGAAAUACUGGGUUCCAUUCAUCUGGUUUGGAAAUCUUGCAGCGAAAGCCCGAAAGGAAGGUAGAAUCAGAGACAGUGUUGAUCUACAAUCAUUGAUGACUGAAAUGAACAAAUACCGCUCUUGGUGCAGCCUCUUAUUUGGCUACGACUGGGUUGGGAUUCCGCUGGUCUACACCCAGGUUGUCACCCUGGCAGUCUACACCUUCUUCUUUGCCUGCCUGAUUGGACGCCAGUUUUUGGAUCCCACCAAAGGCUACGCAGGGCAUGACCUAGACCUUUACAUUCCGAUCUUCACGCUCCUCCAGUUCUUCUUCUACGCGGGAUGGCUCAAGGUAGCUGAGCAGCUUAUCAACCCAUUUGGAGAAGACGAUGAUGAUUUUGAAACCAACUGGUGCAUUGACAGAAACUUGCAGGUCUCUCUUUUAGCUGUGGAUGAGAUGCACAUGAGCUUACCUAAGAUGAAGAAGGACAUCUACUGGGACGAUUCUGCUGCUCGACCGCCCUAUACGCUGGCAGCUGCAGACUACUGCAUACCCUCAUUUCUGGGGUCAACUGUCGAAAUGGGACUGUCCGGAUCCGACUUCCCUGGUGAGGACUGGCUGUGGAGUUACGAGAAGCACGGCCACCGCCGUUCCGUGAUUAGGAAAGUCAAGAGAUUCCUGAGCGCCCACGAACACCCCUCCAGCCCCCGGAGGAGAAGCUACAGCCGGCAGGCCAGUGACAGCUCCAUGUUCUUUCCCCCAAGCGGUGAUGUCAGCCCAGCCAGGGAUCUGUUGGACGUGCCCUCCAGAAGCUACCACCGUGCCCCAGGCACCCCGAACCAGACCCGCUCCCCAGAGGGGAGCAUCAAGAUGUACUCCAGCCUGGGGGAGCUGUCCACCAUCAGGGAGACCAGCCGGACGAGCACUUUGCAGAGUCUGAGUCCACAGCCCAGUGUGAGGGUCUCCCCCACCAAAAUGCCGCAGGUGCCCGAGGUACUGAUCACAGUGGCCGAGGCAUCAGUGCCUGUGUCCGAUGGCUCCAUGGCCUCCAUUCAGAGUGCAGAGUUUACUGGGGUGGAGCCAAGUGGGACUGGACAGCAGGAGGUCCCCGUGGGAUUGAUUCCUUGCCCCUCAGAGAAAGGGACACCUCCGAGGGAUCCCAGUCCCCAGACUAGUUCUGCCAAAGAUAAAAGAAAUGUUCCCACAUUUGUCUCUGGGGAAAACCCUAAAGAUGACAAGUUCCUGAAAAGGUGGAGCCUCCCGGGGUUCCUGGAGUCCAGCCACACCUCCCCAGUGGGCCUCCGCCCAGAUCCCAUGAGCCCUGAGCCCAUUCUCUUACUCAACACAGAAACAUCUUCAGAGACAAGUGGAAUCAACAUCGUGGCUGGCUCUCGAGCCUCUCCUGAUAUGCUGUAUUUAAUGGAAAAUCUGGACACCAAGGAAACAGAUAUCAUAGAUUUUAACAAUGAGCCAGCUGAGGAACGACCCAAAGGAAGACCAGAACCUCUAGGACCUGGUUCUAGUUGAGGUUCUUACUUUCAGCAUUAGUUCCAGAACAUACCUAAGGACUGGUCAACUUUUUAAAAAGCCAUCAGACUAUAUAAGCUACUUAAAACUAAAGGGCAUUAUGAUCCUAGUUUCUGAGAACUGAGAAAAUCAAAUACAUUCACAUCAUCUGUUACAAGGUGACUUUCACAGAAGUCACACAGACCACAGCGACCUAUCUUAACCAAACAAGGAAUCUUAAUAAUAUAUCUAUGGCUUAUAAUUCAGAUAUUAUGUUACCUUUGGAAAGGAUCUUGUAGCCAAUAGUCCCCCAGUUUUGCCCCCAGAGAGACAAAGUUUUCUCUCCUCCCCACUUUUUCUCUUUUCUUCAACUCCUCAGUCAUAAAGAGAGGGAUAUGGGUCACACAAUGCUGCAAAAGCUCCUUCCUAAUACUGACUCUUUGAGGCUUUCUAACCAUCUCACUACCACUUUCUAGAACUACGAUCACUUCUUGAUUCUUAAGCUUCACAGCAUUACAACCUCCACCUCCUUUUAAUUUCUUUUUCUCUGUUUUCUUUUUAUUCUCUCAUCCUUUUGUCUUUCCCUUCUACUCUCUCCCACCUUUCAGGUUGUACUAUUUUCUGUUGCCAACUCUGCUCCUUACUUUUUGCCAUGGUUUGCAGACGAUGAGGCCUUGGCAGCACCUCCCACAGGGCAAUCAAAGAUGUCCGCAAGUCCAACCUGACGCACUCGAGCCUCCCAGUGGAAGGGGCACAGAGGCUGAUGGCAGCCAUUGCCAUUCUUUCUGUACCCACCCCCUGGUCUUGAACACUGGAGAAAUUGGAAGCAAAGAGGACAAGGAAUCUCAUAAGCAAAUGCUUAUGGAACCAAAGAAUAACAAGGCUUGAGUGUGUUUAACACGAACCCUUAAGCUAAAAUCCCAGUCAUGUCACAACAUGGGACCAGUUACUGCGUCUGCCAGGUUGUUUGGCAUGAGUGAUUUGCCCAUUUGAACGCCUGAAGCAUGCAAACUCCUGUUAUACUCGACCGCAUGGAAACCCACGAGAUCUAAGCCAUGUCCUCCAUCAGGCCGAGACCGAACUGUGAGAGCCAAGCCUGACACGCAGGGAGCGCCCGCCUAGGUCCGUGCUGCGAGGAUAGCUCAGGCUCCCGCCGCGCUCAAAGGAAGGCGGGAUGGGAGCGCAGAGGCGGGGUCCGCAAUCUAACCCCCGUCCAGCCCGGGACCCGCCGGGGCGGAGAUGUUACAGCCGGGACCUGCGGGGCUUUCCACCGUGGAACAGGCUUUCCUCCAAGAUGGGUGGAUCCGGGGUGUUCGCGGCCACCCUCAGCCCAGUCCUGCGGCCCGCGUGUAAAGCCACAGCCCUAGAAUUCCUCAAACACGCUGCCUCCUCAGCAGAAGCCACACGUGGUCUGCGGCUCCUCGGAAACCCGUCCGCCGACUUUCAGCAUCCGGCCACGUGGGCUUCGGGGGAAACAGCCUGAUAAAGUGGUCGCUCCGUAAGAGGUUCUCCGUGGUCGUUUCCACUCUACCGGUGUUCUCAUGAGCGCUGACUCGGGCGCCUCGCUGCUGCAUACACUCCCUGCGAGGCGGUCAUUACCCAAGGAUCGGGGCGCGGGCAUCCUGGAAGCCCAGGGAAGGGAAAGUGCAAGGGCAGAAGCGCUUAAAACAGUUCCACGGUCUGAGCCCGAGCUGGAUAUAUGACCUAGGUCCGCAGCGGAAAGUGGUGGCCGGUGGCCUGAAUCUGAGUUCCUCACAGCUCUUGCUUGUCCAGGAUUGUCCAGCGGGCCACAGUCUCCGCCACCGCCUACCUCCCUAGCCUGAGCCUGCUUCACUUGGUGUGGCCCUGGGAGGUGACCUGGGCCGGCUGCUCUUUUACCAAAACAUCCACAGCUCCACGGAGUCCUCAACCACGGUGAGCUCCUAAUCCGUGCCAAGAGGGAAAGGGUAAGAAGAUGGAAAGCCAGUGGUGGCAGGUCCUUGGCCUAUGUAUUACUAUAAACUCCAGCAGCCCCUAGCUACCACCCACACAUGAUAAACCUGUACUCCGUCCUCCUCCUGACCUGCUUCUCUGGGAGAGCUGGACAGGCUUGGUGUUCUCCCUGGCUCACUGACAGGGCAAAUCAUUCUGGACGCAGGGACUCUGGCACUAGCUGGCCACGCCUGACCAGGCCCCGUUGGCAGCAGGCCCUGCACGGAUGUCAGAUCCAGACAACCUAGGAACAGCAUGUCAUUUGUGUGUCGUUCCCACUGGAGAAACUAGCUGCUGUUCAUAGUAGCCGGCAGGCUGGCUGUCUCUUGCCACAGGCGGGGGCGGCCUGGAGCCCUUCUGCUAUUUCCAGCCAUUGACCUCAGUCUGAGGUCAGCUCCCGAGCCAGUGGCGUGGAACACAGGGUAACAGGGGCAGCUCCGCAGAGAGGGAGGAUAAAAGGAUAUGUAAUUUCUAAAUAUUUUUAUGUAUUCAUUUGACAAAGAGAACCUGCACACAAGCAGGCAGAGCGGCAGGCAGAGGGCAAGGGAGAAGCAGGCUCCCCACUGGGCAGACAGCCUGGCCUGGAGCUCGAUCCCAGGACCUUAGGAUCAUGACCUGAGCCAAAGGCAGAUGCUCAACUGACUGAGCUACCCAGGCGCACCAAGGAUAUCUAAUUUUUUUUUUUUUAACUUUUAAAAGCUAAGUUCACCCCUGUAAGGAAAAAGGCAGGUCUCCCUACUAGUAGAAGAAUAAACAACGAAGCCCUAGUUGGUAAGCCCUGGUGGUGUAGGGAAGAAACCUCUAACAGCCAUAAGGACCCUUCCUCAGAACAUACUACAAGGGACGCUCAGAGAGCCCGUGGGAGGCCCUGCAGAGAUGGAGAACAACGAGAAAGAAGCCCAGCAUCAGAUUGGAAAAGAGCCUCUCCCUCUGUCCCAUCAACAUUUAGGGUUGGAGUCUGCCCCCCCCCCCAGCCACCAGGGGUUUCUCUGCAGCUGCCUGACCUCUGUUACUUGAGGCCACCCCUGUGCAUGGCUUUUGCAAACCCCACUCUGCUGUUAGCCCACCAAGCAGGCAGUGCCAUUCUGUUGCAGAUGACCCUGCGAAGAUCCCUCGAUGCCCACAAUCCGCAGCGACAGGGAGAUCUGCAAUCCACUGGCAUCCAAGCACAUCCCUCAGGGCCUCCAGGACCCCUAGUGAGCAGAUGGGGGUCAUGUGGGCACCCCAGCCCCCCCAACCCAGGGCUCCCACCUUUCCCCUGUCAGUGUCAGCAGACACACCUGCUCCUGCCGAUCCCCAGGGAAGGUGAUGGGAGACAAAUCAGUGGUCUUCCGCAGGGCCCAGGGCACCAGAGGUGCAGGGGAGCAGAGGGAGCUCUUGCUUCUGCUUUAUUUUCCCCUCAGAAAACUCAGCUUCAAAUAUGGCCUAAUCACCUUUUGUCAAGUAGAGAACAUAAAGGGGAAGAAGGUGAACUUUGGGACACACAGUGUGUGGGUUCGAAAUCUGGACCCACCACUGCUCGUGCAAAGUUACUUAACCUUUCUGUGACUUGGUUUCCUUGGAGAUAAAAUGGGGAUCAUCGUAAUGAUCAUUGUUAUUGUUCGUGUUAAAUGAGUUGGUACAGACAAAACCCCGAGUAUAUUGUGUGUCCUAUAUUAAGCACAUGGUAAAUGUUUGCGGCCAUUAUUACAUCCUCCUAGUAUUAAACAGGAUGGUGAAUAAGGGCUCUGACUCUGAUUCUCUGAAUAAGGUUCUGGUCAGGCCCAGACACUUGCUAGCAGUGUGACCUAGGUCAACUUAUCUGACCUGCUCUAGCUUCUGUUUCAACAACAACAAGAUGGCAUCAAUGCCCGUAUGUUCCUCACUGGGCUGUUUUAAAAGUCAGAUGAAAUAAUGGAUGUAAAGCAAUUAACACAGGACCUGAUGGAAAGUUAUGGCUUCAUAAUUGUUAACUGUCUUUAUUAUCAUUUAAUGAAGUACGCCUGACUUUAGAGCAAAAGUAAGAUUUGAGAAUGUUUAAUGUGUUUUCCCUGAAGGUAUAGGAAGGACUCCUUUCCUGAGUCAAAGAUCAAAGUACAUAACUUCUUCAAUUUCUUGCUUUCAACUGAGUUGACAAAAGCCUAUAGCAAACUCCACUUGACUGAGGCAAAGGCCCAAGAGGGGAACAAAAGGUAGGGGUGUUUCUCCAGCAGCGUGGCCCAGACCUGCCUCCAGGUGGCAGCAUUUUAGCAUGUUGAACUUGAGGAAACCCCCGUCAGACCCUCCAGUUUCAUCCACCUAAACCAAGGGUCAUGGUGAUGUUCAUCUCUGAGAGCUGCUGAAGGUUCUCAGACACACAAGAAAUUGCCUCUGGCGGGGGGAGGUUUGGGACAUAGGACUAGAGAGUAAGUAGGGCCACAAUUAGGAUGUGCAGGGUCCCUAUCUAUAUUAAUCAUUUGAGUCACCCCAAAUCAGUGUGCCCUCUCUGGAGGCCCAAUCUUAUGCGAAAAAGAAGAAGAAGGAAAAAAAAUUACACUCACCCCAUGAGUGACCACUGACCAGGCAGGUCCUUCCUGGAACCAGGUUCUGGUCACCGGGGUGCAGGACCCCCAUCAGUCUCAGGUCACCCUGCCUGGAUGGCACUGCCAGCUAUCACUGCCAGAGAGGGCCUUGAACAUGAGAAACCGGAGGAAGGCAUUCCAAAGCAUGGAAGGGCUUUGGGUGGGAAGGAGGCUUACUGGGAGCUGGGGUUGCUGGUCUAAGAUGAUAAAGGAGAAAAUAAAGGAAGUGUGAGAUGGUGUGGGAGAAAAGGGGAAAAGGCAAAAAUGAGGAGGGGUAUCCCACAUAAUCUCCCAGGCCCACUCAGUAACCCAAGUGCCUUUUGUGGCCUGCCUCCUCCUUAUUCUGAACAGCAGGCCAAACACGCCCUCCUGUAAUCCAAGGGUAUUACCAGAUUGGAACUAAGGACAGCCCAGUCACACAUAAUUUGUUUCUGAAAACUUUGGUUCACAUUUCAAAUCUCUUCUAAAUAGGUUGUUUACCAAAGAGGAAAAAUCUAAGAAAUUGGGAGCUAAGAGUCUUAUCGGGAGGGAAAACAAAGAUGAGCAUGUUGUCUGAGAUCAGGGAGGUGGUUCCACAAGCCCUCCCCCCCACCCCGGCUCGGUGCCUGGGGACAUUAGUCAGAGUGGGAAGGUAGAUCAGGUUGGAGACAGAGAAGACAAGGCCGCUCCAGUAAAAAAAAGUCUGACACACUGGCCUGAGCAGAGCUAGGGAGCGUCAGCUGUCACCAUAUUUUGGGGACCCUCAGAUCCAACUGCUCCUCUCUCCUUGAAUGGAUGGGACACUAUAGAAUAGUCUCUUCAUCGACAGGACACUGAGGAACAGACCUCUGAGGCUGCUGAUACCCCACGGGCACCAGGCUGGUGACAGAAAGGCAUCCACACUGGGUCUCCAUAUCACUGAUCCUAGAAACUGGAUCCUAGAAAUCCAGUUCCUAGGAACGCGGGGUGGGAAGGAAAUUCUGGUGUCACCUAGUUCAGGACCCCACUGCAUGACAGAAUCCUCUCUACAGUAGUAUUGCCAAGAUUCUUCCAGCCAGAACCCUCCAGUGAAAGGCAGUUCGCCCUUGUUGACCCUUUCAUGCUCUACCACCACGCUCAGUAGAUGGCCCUCACCACACUGAGCCAAAAGCUGCCUCCUGCCAGCCAGAUCUCACCAUUCUCAUACCCCCUCUGGGUCCAACCUAAUUUGUCCAUCCUUCUCCACGGUGAGGACCACCUGCAGACACUUGAAGAACGCCAUUAUGCUGUGUCUCUAGAAGCCUCCCACAUGCAUGCAUGCUUUUGCACACGUGAACACACACACGCUCACCUUUCCUUGAAAGCAAAUCUUGCCAGAUAAUCUUUACAUUUCCUGAUCCCCUCACCAUCCUUCUCUCUCUCUACACUGAAGUGUCAUAAGUUCACAUGGCCCUACUCAAAUGUGCACCCAGAAGCAAGUAUAAUACUAUAAUUUUUUUGUGUUUUUUUUCCUACCAGUGCACAGUGAAGCAGCACAAUCCACUUCUUGUUACACACGUUUGGCUUCUAUCCAUAUAGCCCCAUAAUGGGGGUGGGGAGAAGGGAUCAAGCCUGUUCAGCUCACUGCUGUGAUCCCUCCCCAGAGGUUCGACCAGUAUCUGGCACUAGGUGGACACACAAGAAAUAUUUGUUUAGCAAAUGUAUGACAUUUUGAGAGUAUGGGCUCACUUUUGUUUUUGUUGUAGUAGUUGGUGGUGGUGGUGGUUGUUAGUAGUCAGGAAGAACAGUUUUAUUUUGGGUAUGCUUAACCUUAUCCAAGUAGACACAUCAAAUGACAGCUGGCUAUCAGACAAGUUUGGAGAUUAGAGGAGAGGUCAGGGCUGGAGAGAGAGAUUGGAGUCACCACCUCAGAGAGUGUGGCCCUCUUUCCACUUGGCCUCCCAGAGCCAAUGACCAGUAGAACACCAGCCUCUCUUUUCCUCCAUCCCCCACUCUUCCCAAGUAGUAGAAUCCCCAGAUCACUUGCCUGCCCCUCUCUAUCCCCACUCUCCCCAGAAAAUUCCAGUCCUGAAGGCAGAAUGCUUGCCCUCUUUGCUGAACUGAACUCCACAGGAAAUAUCCGAAUCCUUCGCAUACACAUUUCUGUGAGCAGCACAGUCAGUUUUUUGUUACUGCUAGAGAAUGUCAGCCCUUCCAGCUGUAACACAGAUUUUCAUCUCAGCACAUGGCUGGGAAUUUAGAGAGCAAUGAGCAAGGCAGGGGCACUUGUGUGCUGUCUCCUCACAUCCCUCCACCUAGGACAGGCACACGAUAGUGGAAUCCUGGUGUCCAGCCAUCCCGUGGACUCCCGGGGCCAGGAGUGCCCUCUGCUGGUCACAGGAACACUGAGGCUCCUGAGAGUAACUAAUGACAUCAGGAGCCAAUUAGUGAUCAUGAUGACUACCACUUCUCACGAGCAUUUACCAUGAGCCAGAUUUGUAAUCAAAAUUUUACCCAGCUGGGGCGCCUGGGUGGCUCAGUGAGUUAAAGCCUCUGCCUUCGGCUCGGGUCAUGAUCCCAGGGUCCCGGGAUCGAGCCCCAUGUCGGGCUCUCUGCUCAGUGGGAAGCCUGCAUCCUCCUCCUCUCUCUCUCUCUUUGCCUGCUUGUGAUCUUUGUCUGUCAAAUAAAUAAAUAAAAUCUUUAAGAAAAAAAAUUUUUUUUACCCAGCUAAUGCCAUUUAAUGCUCAUCCUAACCUUACCAAGCUCACUAUUUUCCCAUUUCACAAAUGAGGAAAUUGUUCAGGGCACUCAGAUGAUUUUUCUCCAAGUCCCAAAGAGGAAGGUUGGCUGGUUGGCUGGUCUGCUCCUGGCCAUCCUUUUCAAAUGCCUCAAGAUAGACAUAAGCCACCACAGAAGGAAAGGGGGAAUUUAAACAUGUAUAUUUAAAAUACAUAAAUAAACAUGUAUGUUUUUCCUUGUAAAAGUAAACACAUUAUUUUCUGGAAAAAUGGAAAGAAAAAUACAUUGCCACACAUCUGAACGACUGUUAGCAUUUUAACAUGCUUCUUUUCAAAUCUUUUUUUUUUCUCCUAUCCAUCUUUUUUUUCAUGACUGAAAUCAAGGUCUAGUGCAAAUUCUUCACUAAAGAGGAUUCUUAAAGAUUUCUUUUCUUCAAGAAUUUUUGUUCUCAAGGGGUGCCUGGGUGGC